rnacentral:rRNA from 1 species
UAAGGAAUAUUGGUCAAUGGACGCAAGUCUGAACCAGCCAUGCCGCGUGAAGGAUGAAGGUCUUCUGGAUUGUAAACUUCUUUUAUCUGGGACGAAAACGGGAUUUUUAUCUCAAUUGACGGUACCAGAGGAAUAAGCACCGGCUAACUCCGUGCCAGCAGCCGCGGUAAUACGGAGGGUGCGAGCGUUAUCCGGAUUUACUGGGUUUAAAGGGUGCGUAGGUGGGCUUAUAAGUCAGUGGUGAAAUCUCCGAGCUUAACUUGGAAACUGCCGUUGAUACUAUAGGUCUUGAAUUAUCUGGAGGUAAGCGGAAUAUGUCAUGUGGCGGUUAAAUGCUUAGAUAUGACAUAAAACACCAAUUGCGAAGGCAGCUUACUACAUAUAAAUUGACGCUGAGGCACGAAAGCGUGGGGAUCAAACA